rnacentral:rRNA from 1 species
GACGAACGCUGGCGGCGCGCUUAACACAUGCAAGUCGAGCGAGAACCCUCCUUCGGGAGGGGGACAGCGGCGAACGGGUGAGUAACACGUGGGUAAUCUGCCCUCGGUUCUGGGAUAGCCCGGGGAAACCCGGAUUAAUACCGGAUAGCCUCUCGAGCUCUCGGGCUCGUGAGAAAAGGUAGCUUCGGCCUCCGAUCGAGGAGGAGCCCGCGGCGGAUUAGCUUGUUGGUGGGGUAACGGCCCACCAAGGCGACGAUCCGUAGCUGGUCUGAGAGGACGAUCAGCCACACUGGGACUGAGACACGGCCCAGACUCCUACGGGAGGGCAGCAGUGGGGAAUCUUGCGCAAUGGGCGAAAGCCUGACGCAGCGACGCCGCGUGAGGGAAGAAGGCCUUCGG